rnacentral:rRNA from 1 species
UACAGAGGUGGCAAGCGUUGUUCGGAAUUAUUGGGCGUAAAGCGUGCGCAGGCGGUUUUGUAAGCCAGAUGUGAAAGCCCCGGGCUUAACCUGGGAAUGGCAUUUGGGACUGCAAGGCUUGAGUGCGGCAGAGGAGACUGGAAUUCCCGGUGUAGCAGUGAAAUGCGUAGAUAUCGGGAGGAAUACCGAUGGCGAAGGCAGGUCUCUGGGCUGACACUGACGCUCAUGCACGAAAGCGUGGGGAGCAAA